GAUGAACGCUGGCGGCGUGCCUAAUACAUGCAAGUCGAACGAGGUGCUUGAGUAGCAAUACGAGAGUAUCCUAGUGGCGAACGGGUGAGUAACGCGUUGGUGACCUACCCCAAAGUGUGGGAUAACAGUCCGAAAGGAUUGCUAAUACCGCAUGUGGUCUUCGGGUUUAGAAACCGAUGACGAAAGCAGCAAUGCGCUUUGGGAGGGACCUGCGUCCCAUCAGCAGUUGGUGAGGUAACGGCUCACCAAGGCGACGACGGGUAGGGGACCUGAGAGGGUGACCCCCCACAAUAGG
rnacentral:rRNA from 1 species